CCUACGGGACGCAGCAGUCGAGAAUCAUUCACAAUGGGGGAAACCCUGAUGGUGCGACGCCGCGUGGGGGAAUGAAGGUCUUCGGAUUGUAAACCCCUGUCAUGUGGGAGCAAAUUAAAAAGAUAGUACCACAAGAGGAAGAGACGGCUAACUCUGUGCCAGCAGCCGCGGUAAUACAGAGGUCUCAAGCGUUGUUCGGAAUCACUGGGCGUAAAGCGUGCGUAGGCUGUUUCGUAAGUCGUGUGUGAAAGGCGCGGGCUCAACCCGCGGACGGCACAUGAUACUGCGAGACUAGAGUAAGGGAGGGGGAACCGGAAUUCUCGGUGUAGCAGUGAAAUGCGUAGAUAUCGAGAGGAACACUCGUGGCGAAGGCGGGUUCCUGGACAUUAACUGACGCUGAGGCACGAAGGCCAGGGGAGCGAAAGGGAUUAGAUACCCGAGUAGUC
rnacentral:rRNA from 1 species